UAAAGCUCUUUCGUCGAGGGCGCGAUCAUGACAGGACUCGAGGAAGAAGCCCCGGCUAACUCCAUGCCAGUAGCCGCGGUAAGACGGGGGGGGGGCAAGUGUUCUUCGGAAUGACUGGGCGUAAAGGGCACGUAGGCGGUGAAUCGGGUUGAAAGUGAAAUCUUCUUCUCUUUUUUUUCUUCUUCUCCUCUUCUUCUCUUUUUUUUCUUCUUCUUCCUCUUUAUUUUAUCGGGAACGAGGGUUGUCGA
rnacentral:ncRNA from 1 species